rnacentral:sRNA from 1 species
AAGAUAUCCAGAAUAGAGUCCAGAUACAAGGUAAUUAUCAGACAAACACGUAGCCAAAGAAGAAAACAAAUGUUGACGGGGCAUAUGAAUGAAUGAAUGGUUUUCAGAGAAGGAAGCCACAGCGCAUGUGCCAACUUGAUCAAAUGAUGGAUCGUUUCAAGAACAAAAACUAUGUGGUGGUCGGCUGAUGCUGAUUCUCACACUCAUCACAAGCUCAACAUAAACCAAAAAUCACAUGAUCUGUAACGUGUACUUUGAGUUCACUAUAAUUCCACACCAAAUGCCUCGACUCACAGAUUAGUCAUAUCAUAUUCGUUCAAUGUUCCUCUUUCGUCUCUCUCUCUCUCUCUAUAAAUAUUUAUAUGUGUCUCUGUCUGGCUAGUUUGGUACGUACGUAACAUCAUAGCCGUAGCAGCAGAGGCAUAUGAAUAUAUAUUUCAUGCAGUUCGAGGCCAAUUCAGAUAUGGGAUUCGUAUCUAUGAGUUCAGUUUGAUUAAAGUUUUUAAAUGGUGGUUAGAAUCACUG